UACAGAGGUCUCAAGCGUUGUUCGGAUUCAUUGGGCGUAAAGGGUGCGUAGGCGGCGCGGUAAGUCGGGUGUGAAAUCUCGGAGCUUAACUCCGAAACUGCAUUCGAUACUGCCGUGCUUGAGGACUGGAGAGGAGACUGGAAUUUACGGUGUAGCGGUGGAAUGCGUAGAGAUCGGGAAGAACACCAGUGGCGAAGGCGGCGCUCUGGGCUGCACCUGACGCUGAGAUGCGAAAGUGUGGGGAGCAAACGGG
rnacentral:rRNA from 1 species